GUCCACGCCCUAAACGAUGAUUACUCGACAUCAGCGAUACACUGUUGGUGUCUGAGCGAAAGCAUUAAGUAAUCCACCUGGGAAGUACGACCGCAAGGUUGAAACUCAAAGGAAUUGGCGGGGUCCGCACAAGCGGUGGAGCAUGUGGUUUAAUUCGAUGAUACGCGAGGAACCUUACCUGGGCUAGAAUGCAUUUUGACCGUGGGUGAAAGCUCACUUUGUAGCAAUACACAAUUUGUAAGGUGCUGCAUGGCUGUCGU
rnacentral:rRNA from 1 species